GACGAACGCUGGCGGCGUGCCUAAUACAUGCAAGUCGAACGAAGCUGUUUUAACUGGUGCUUGCACCGACUUAAACAACUGAGUGGCGGACGGGUGAGUAAUGCCUGGGGAGCUGCCCAAUCGAGGGGGAUACCAGUUGGAAACGACUGCUAAUACCGCAUACGCCCUGAGGGGGAAAGGUGGGGAUCUUCGGACCUACCGCGAUUGGAUGCACCCAGGUGGGAUUAGCUAGUUGGUGAGGUAACGGCUCACCAAGGCGACGAUCUCUAGCUGAUCUGAGAGGGUGACCAGCCACACUGGAACUGAGACACGGUCCAGACUCCUACGGGAGGCAGCAGUGGGGAAUAUUGCACAAUGGGGGAAACCCUGAUGCAGCCAUGCCGCGUGUGUGAAGAGGGCCUUCGGGUUGUAAAGCACUUUCAGCGAGGAGGAAAGGUUGGCAGCUAAUACCUGUCAGCUGUGACGUUACUCGCAGAAGAAGCACCGGCUAACUCCGUGCCAGCCGCCGCCGUAA
rnacentral:rRNA from 1 species